rnacentral:rRNA from 1 species
AUACGUAGGGGGCGAGCGUUGUCCGGAAUGAUUGGGCGUAAAGGGCGCGUAGGCGGCCCGGUAAGUCUGGAGUGAAAGUCCUGUUUUUAAGAUGGGAAUUGCUUUGGAUACUGUCGGGCUUGAGUGCAGGAGAGGUAAGUGGAAUUCCCAGUGUAGCGGUGAAAUGCGUAGAGAUUGGGAGGAACACCAGUGGCGAAGGCGACUUACUGGACUGUAACUGUCGCUGAGGCGCGAAAGUGUGGGAAGCAAACAGGAUUAGAUACCCUGGUAGUCCACACUGUAAACGAUGAAUGCUAGGUGUAGGGGGUAUCGACCCCUUCUGUGCCGCAGUCAACACAAUAAGUAUUCCACCUGGGGAGUACGAUCGCAAGGUUGAAACUCAAAUGAAUUGACGGGG